rnacentral:rRNA from 1 species
UACGGAGGGUGCGAGCGUUGUCCGGAAUCACUGGGCGUAAAGGGCGCGUAGGCGGCCUGAUAAGUAGGGGGUGAAAUCCUGCGGCUUAACCGCAGGGCUGCCUUCUAAACUGUCAGGCUUGAGCACAGUAGAGGCAGGUGGAAUUCCCGGUGUAGCGGUGGAAUGCGUGGAGAUCGGGAAGAACAUCAGUGGCGAAGGCGGCCUGCUGGGCUGUUGCUGACGCUGAGGCGCGACAGCGUGGGGAGCAAACAGG